rnacentral:rRNA from 1 species
UACGGGGGGGUGCGAGCGUUGUCCGGAAUUAUUGGGCGUAAAGAGCUCGUAGGCGGUGUGUCGCGUCGGCCGUGAAAACCUGCAGCUUAACUGUGGGCUUGCGGUCGAUACGGGCAUCACUGGAGUUCGGCAGGGGAGACUGGAAUUCCUGGUGUAGCGGUGAAAUGCGCAGAUAUCAGGAGGAACACCGGUGGCGAAGGCGGGUCUCUGGGCCGAUACUGACGCUGAGGAGCGAAAGCGUGGGGAGCGAACAGG